GGCGAGAUAGGCCGCGCGCAGGCCCGAGGCGUCCGGGUCGCCGUCGGCGGCCACCCAGUCGCGGUAGUGCGACUCGACCUCCCGCAG
rnacentral:tRNA from 1 species